UACGUAGGGUGCAAGCGUUGUCCGGAAUUAUUGGGCGUAAAGAGCUCGUAGGCGGUCUGUCGCGUCGGCUGUGAAAACCCGAGGCUCAACCUCGGGCCUGCAGUCGAUACGGGCAAACUAGAGUACUGCAGGGAGACUGGAAUUCCUGGUGUAGCGGUGAAAUGCGCAGAUAUCAGGAGGAACACCGGUGGCGAAGGCGGGUCUCUGGGCAGUAACUGACGCUGGAGGAAGCGAAAGCCGUUGGGAGCGAACAGG
rnacentral:rRNA from 1 species